rnacentral:rRNA from 1 species
UACGUAGGAGACGAGCGUUGUUCGGAAUUACUGGGCGUAAAGCGCGCGCAGGCGGUCCUUCAAGUCAGAGGUGAAAGCCCAGAGCUCAACUCUGGAAUGGCCUUUGAGACUAGAGGACUUGGGUACGGGAGAGGUGAGUGGAAUUCCGAGUGUAGAGGUGAAAUUCGUAGAUAUUCGGAAGAACACCAGUGGCGAAGGCGGCUCACUGGCCCGUUACCGACGCUCAGGCGCGACAGCGUGGGGAGCAA